rnacentral:rRNA from 1 species
UACAGAGGGUGCGAGCGCUAAUCGGAAUUACUGGGCGUAAAGCGCACGUAGGCGGCUUGGUAUGUCGGGUGUGAAAUCCCCGGGCUCAACCUGGGAACUGCAUCCGAAACUGCCUUGCUCGAGUAUGGGAGAGGGAAGUGGAAUUUCCGGUGUAGCGGUGAAAUGCGUAGAUAUCGGAAGGAACAUCAGUGGCGAAGGCGACUUCCUGGACCAAUACUGACGCUCAGGUGCGAAAGCGUGGGGAGCAAACAGG